UCCCCGUUAUCCGAGGCGGUUUCGCUAGAGUGCCCGACUUGACUCGCUGGCAACUAACGAUAAGGGUUGCGCUCGUUGCGGGACUUAACCCAACAUCUCACGACACGAGCGGACGACAGCCAUGCAGCACCUGUGUCCACGCCCCUUGCGGGGAGGAGUCCAUCUCUGGAAACCGUCGUGGCAUGUCAAGGGCUGGUAAGGUUCUGCGCGUUGCUUCGAAUUGAACCACAUGCUCCACCGCUUGUGCGGGCCCCCGUCAAUUCCUUUGAGUUUUAAUCUUGCGACCGUACUCCCCAGGCGGGAUGCUUAGCGCGUUAGCUACGCUACUGAGGGGUAACCCCCCAACAGCUAGCAUCCAUCGUUUACAGCGUGGACUAC
rnacentral:misc_RNA from 1 species